rnacentral:other from 1 species
AGCCCCAAGGAUGUGGGGAGUCUCAGGAUGAGACCGGUGUACUAGGAUGGUAUAUCGAACAUGGACUGUGAAGGGAUGGCCGAGGAACGGCUAAGCAGUAAACAGGAUGUUUACGCGUCAGGAUGACACAAGGACCACUUCAGGAAGAAGGAAGUCAGGGACACCGCCAGGAAGGUCGAAGAGAGUCAGGACAGGAUGCACUGACGGGUCAGGAAGGCCAAUGGAACACUUCAGGAUGAAGUAAAAAAGGACGAUGCUGAAGGAUGUCAGCUGUCAACGGAAUGAUGCAGGGAGCACCAUCGUAGCGGGAUUGCUGCAUGUAAGACCUAAGGGCGCAACGCAAGUUGCGCCCGUUCUUUUAUGG